rnacentral:rRNA from 1 species
UAGCAGCACCCCAAGUGGUAGUCGUUAUUAUUGGGCUUAAAGUGUUCGUAGCCGGCUAUGCAAGUCCGCUGUGAAAUCCAUCUGCUUAACAGGUGGGCGUGCAGCGGAUACUGCAUGGCUAGGGACCGGACGGCGUCGAGGCUAUUCCCGGGGUAGGAGUGAAAUCCUAAAAUCCCGGGAGGAGCACCUGUGGCGAAAGCGCUCGACGAGUACGGAUCCGACGGUGAGGAACGAAAGCCAGAGGAGCAAA